rnacentral:rRNA from 1 species
ACGGAAGGCAGCAGUGGGGAAUAUUGGGCAAUGGGCGCAAGCCUGACCCAGCAACGCCGCGUGAAGGAAGAAGGCUUUCGGGUUGUAAACUUCUUUUGUGAGGGACGAGCAGAAGACGGUACCUCAUGAAUAAGCCACGGCUAACUACGUGCCAGCAGCCGCGGUAAUACGUAGGUGGCACGCGUUGUCCGGAUUUACUGGGUGUAAAGGGCGUGUAGCCGGGUCGGCAAGUCAGAUGUGAAAUCCACGGGCUUAACUCGUGAACUGCAUUUGAAACUGUUGGGCUGGAGUAUCGGAGGGGCAGUCGGAAUUCCUAGUGUAGCGGUGAAAUGCGUAGAUAUUAGGAGGAACACCAGUGGCGAAGGCGGAUUGCUGGACUGUAACUGACGUUGAGGCUCGAAAGCGUGGGGAGCAAACAGGAUUAGAUACCCUGGUA